rnacentral:rRNA from 1 species
UGAGGAAUAUUGGUCAAUGGUCGGGAGACUGAACCAGCCAAGCCGCGUGAGGGAUGAAGGUGCUAAGCAUUGUAAACCUCUUUUGUCAGGGAACAAAGGCAUCCACGAGUGGGUGUGUGAGUGUACCUGAAGAAAAAGCAUCGGCUAACUCCGUGCCAGCAGCCGCGGUAAUACGGAGGAUGCGAGCGUUAUCCGGAUUUAUUGGGUUUAAAGGGUGCGUAGGCGGCCUUUUAAGUCAGCGGUAAAAGCCCGGGGCUCAACCCCUGCGAGCCGUUGAAACUGGCUGGCUGGAGUUGGCGAGAGGUAUGCGGAAUGCGCGGUGUAGCGGUGAAAUGCUUAGAUAUCGCGCAGAACUCCGAUUGCGAAGGCAGCAUGCCGGCGCCACACUGACGCUGAGGCACGAAAGCGUGGGGAUCAAACAGGAUUAGAUACC